rnacentral:tRNA from 1 species
GGAGAGAUGGCUCAGCGGUUAAGAGCACUGGCUGUUCUUCCAGAGGUCCUGAGUUCAAUUCCCAGCCUAUAUA